UACGGGGGGAGCAAGCGUUGUUCGGAUUUACUGGGCGUAAAGGGCGCGUAGGCGGCCACCGCAAGUCGACUGUGAAAUCUCCGGGCUUAACCCGGAAAGGUCAGCCGAUACUGCGGGGCUAGAGUGCAGAAGGGGCAACUGGAAUUCUCGGUGUAGCGGUGAAAUGCGUAGAUAUCGAGAGGAACACCUGCGGCGAAGGCGGCGAUCUGGACGAUGACUGACGCUGAGACGCGAAAGCGUGGGGAGCGAACAGG
rnacentral:rRNA from 1 species